rnacentral:rRNA from 1 species
ACAGGGAUUGCCCUAGUAACGGCGAGUGAAGCGGCAACAGCUCAAAUUUGAAAUCUGGCUCUUUCAGGGUCCGAGUUGUAAUUUGCAGAGGGCGCUUUGGUGUUGGCAGCGGUCCAAGUUCCUUGGAACAGGACGUCACAGAGGGUGAGAAUCCCGUACGUGGUCGCUAGCCUUCGCCGUGUAAAGCCCCUUCGACGAGUCGAGUUGUUUGGGAAUGCAGCUCUAAAUGGGAGGUAAAUUUCUUCUAAAGCUAAAUACUGGCCAGAGACCGAUAGCGCACAAGUAGAGUGAUCGAAAGAUGAAAAGCACUUUGGAAAGAGAGUCAAAUAGCACGUGAAAUUGUUGAAAGGGAAGCGCUUGCAGCCAGACUUGCCUGUAGUUGCUCAUCCGGGCUUUUGCCCGGUGCACUCUUCUGCGGGCAGGCCAGCAUCAGUUUGGGCGGUUGGAUAAAGGUCUCUGUCAUGUACCUCUCUUCGGGGAGGCCUUAUAGGGGAGACGACAUGCAACCAGCCUGGACUGAGGUCCGCGCAUUUGCUAGGAUGCUGGCGUAAUGGCUGUAAGCGGCCCGUCUUGAAACACGGACCAAGGAGUCUAACAUCUAUGCGAGUGUUUGGGUGUCAAGCCCGAACGCGUAAUGAAAGUGAACGGAGGUGGGAACCCUUUAGGGUGCACCAUCGACCGAUCCUGAUGUCUUCGGAAGGAUUUGAGUAAGAGCAUGGCUGUUGGGACCCGAAAGAUGGUGAACUAUGCUUGAAUAGGGUGAAGCCAGAGGAAACUCUGGUGGAGGCUCGCAGCGGUUCUGACGUGCAAAUCGAUCGUCAAAUUUGGGCAUAGGGGCGAAAGACUAAUCGAACUAUCUAGUAGCUGGUUCCUGC